UCCGGUGUGGUGUAGUUAGCUAGCAUGAGAUAUGUCCCUACGGAUGACCACCACAUCCGCCUACAGGACCCAAGUUCGAUCCUUGGCGCCGGAC